GGUCUCUUGGUGUAGUUGGUUAUCACAUCAGUCUAACACACUGAAGGUCGCCAGUUCGAACCUGGCAGAGACCA